CUUCUUCGAACUCCGCCUGAAAGCAGCGCACGCUUAAAAGCAGAAAUUGCACUUGGCCUGGAACAAGUAGCGCCCGGCCCCAGCCUGCAGGCUGCGGUCACGCAGGUAAUGCUUCUGGCGCCUGUCACGGGCGGAGCUGGGCGUGCCUUUCGGUUGCCAUCGCUUGGGGCUGCGUGCAGGCACGCGGAGGAGCCCGCAGCCGCGGAGCGGGAAGAGCCGCUCGGCGCACGGCUGAGGGCGGUGGCGGCAGAGUGAGACAUACGCAACCUCGCGGCGCUCCGUACGAGGCGGGGAACUCCGCCCUCCGCUCAGCGACAGCCGCCCCCCUCCCCCACGGCGAGGAGGAAGGGCGUUGGCGUGGACCGCGCGUGCGCGGCGGCACCGGC
ensembl:lncRNA